ensembl:snRNA Gm23846 predicted gene, 23846
GUGCUCGCUUCAGCAGCCCAUAUACUAAAAUUGGAACAAUACAGAGAAGCUUAGCAUGGCCCCUGUGCAAGGAUGACACGCAAGUUCGUGAAGUGUUCCAUAUUCUU